GUCUCAUGCCAAUAAAAUAUAAAUAUAUUUUCCCCGGGCGCUUUUUCUGUUCCCCGGGCGCUAUAUUUUCUUCACCCGGGCGCUCCCGGGCGCAUUUUAGUAGGACCCCAAUUAUCAUAUGUCUAUAAAAAGGUGAAUGGUGGGUGCUAAAAUAUAAUAAGAACCCAAGGCGGGGACGGACUCAGCAUCAAGCGUAGAAAACUGUUAAACGCCUCAACUAAAAUAGACAAUCUCCCAUGCGGAGUUAUAGGUGUCAUACCACAAAUUACUCCCUCAAAUUUAGAACGUGAAAGUAGGCCUACUCGGACAAAAAAUAGUGCAUUUGAUGUCAUUGUUCACCUAAACUAACCAACAAAUUUGCAGAAAUGAAACUUUUGUUGAAAGAGAAAUAUAUUAAGACCAUUUUGAGCCAAAUUUUACCUGUCUAGGAGUUUGCAUUUAAAAUUGAUGAUUAAUGCGCUCCAUGGUAUACUAAUUUAAGAUUUCCAGAAAACCAGGGGUUAAUUUUAGUGGUACCUCCUUUCGGGAGCUUUCUUCUUUCUUAUAUGAUUUUGAAUGUAUGUUGAAAAUUGGCAUGCAGAAAGGUGACACCUGUACAAUUCAGCAUAUACCUAGUUUCUAUGAAGUUAAACUUAUGGUAAAAUAUUUAGAAAGCUGUGAAAAUUGCAAAAUUUGGUUGAACAGAUAGGGACUUUUAAUUGGUGGUGUGACACCUUUGAAGUCCUUGCUAUCUCUCAAGGACCGAUAACUCUGCAUGGGAGAGUGCAAAAUAGGACGACAGAAAAUAAAAGGUACACGGAAAAUUGAGGACUAAGCAACAUGAACCGCAUUUAAGCGUGUCCAUCGAAGUCUAUCAUAAUAUGCUCAACACAAUUUAGAACAAUUAAAUAUAAUAGAGAAUGGGAAAAGGGAAUGUGUCAAAGACAACAACCCAGUCGAAUAGUAAAAAACACCGAAGGCCACCAAGCAUGUGUCCUCGACACAGCGAGAAAAUAAUAAAAAUAUUUAUUUGUAAAAUUUAGGAUAAUUAAGGAA
rnacentral:lncRNA from 1 species